rnacentral:rRNA from 1 species
AAUUCCAGCUCCAAUAGCGUAUAUUAAAGUUGUUGCAGUUAAGAAGCUCGUAGUUGAAUUUCUGCCUUAUCAUUAAUUUCGCUUCCGAACGUAAUUUUAUUGAUUUGGCAUCUUCUGGAUUAUAUAUUAUUUUUAAUAUAUUUUUCCAGUAUUUUACUUUGAGAAAACUAGAGUGUUUCAAACAGGCUUUUGCCUUGAAUACUACAGCAUGGAAUAAUGAAGUAGGACUAUUGGUUCUAUUUUGUUGGUUAUCGAACCAUAGUAAUGGUUAAUAGGAGCAGUUGGGGGCAUUCGUAUUUAACUGUCAGAGGUGAAAUUCUUAGAUUUGUUAAAGACGAACUACUGCGAAAGCAUUUGCCAAGGAUGUUUUCAUUAAUCAAGAACGAAAGUUAGGGGAUCGAAGACGAUCAGAUACCGUCGUAGUCCUAACCAUAAACUAA